rnacentral:tRNA from 2 species
GCGCCUGUAGCUCAGCUGGAUAGAGCGUCGGCCUCCGAAGCCGAAGGUCGCAGGUUCGAGUCCUGCCGGGCGCACCA